UAGAUGAUAGACCCGAUUGUUAUUUACAAACAAAAAUAAAUAAAUAAAUAAAAGAAAAAGAAAAAAGCAUUCAACCAUUUCUUAUCCAAAUGCUGCGUUGCGAUCGAUCGCUGAGUUCAAGGGAUUUCUCAUGCAGGAAAAUAUAGAAACAGUGAUUCAGUUAUCAAGACGAGCAUAAUGAACACUUCAACUACUUCUCAAUUCGUUGCCUCAAAAGACAGAAUGUUCUGGGGGUGGAUCUUUCUUAUCUUUGGCAGUAUUUUCUUUUUGGGUUUUUUAUAUGCUGCAGUCAUAUCCAAACUUCUUCUGCCAUCAGGAAAUGUUAUCAUUUCAGCCAUUCAAAAGGACAGGUACUACUGCUUCUUGGUGCCCUUGACAAUUCCUAUCCUUAUUGUUGCUGUAUAUUUCCACUGGCUUAGCAUGAAAUUGUUCAAGCAUGCUUGACUGUUUGAGCCCUGUCAGUUCAGAGGAAGCAAUCUCUGCUCAUACCUAUGGAAGGAAAGGUUGCCUGGAGUUUUCUCCUUCUGGAGAUCUGAUUUUUUUUUUUUUUUUCAUUUUAUCCCCAACUCUUUCACUUGAUCUAAUUUCAAAUUUGGGGAUGGAAACUUUUCUGGCUGCCAAGAGGAAUCCAAUACAUCUAUUGUGAAACAGUUCAUGGACGGACAGAUUAAGGGAACAGCUUGUGGUAAGCAUUGAGUGCAAUGCAUUGAAGCUUUCCCAACUUGAAGUUAAAACUCUCCCCAGUAAAUCUAAUUCUAACCUCAAAUGGCUUCAGACUUUACUGUUACAGUAAACGUGGCAUGGGGCAAUUGUAAUAAGAGGGGCUUGGUUUGGUUUGGGUGGGUGUCCUGCAUUAACUUUUUCCUUGUUGUCAGUGACAUGUGCAUCAUUUAUCAGUGCAGUUUGUAUAGCUGACAGCAAUGUCCUCUGUUAAUUAUGACUGAUACUUGACAGUUUUAAGAUCAUUCUACAUGCUCCCAAAUUGUGUUUUGCUUGUAUAGUCAAGGAGUAGGCUUCAUUUUGCAUUCACUUGUGUAGUCAUGGAGUUGGCUUCAUUUGUAUUCCAUAUUAAGAUGUUAGAAUUAUAUGUUAAAGGUACUCUUAUCAAUGU